rnacentral:rRNA from 1 species
CCUACGGGAGGCAGCAGUGAGGAAUAUUGGUCAAUGGCCGGAAGGCUGAACCAGCCAUGCCGCGUGAAGGUCAGUGCCCUAUGGGCGUUAAACUUCUUUUGUGCGGGAGCAAUAAUGGUCACGUGUGGCCAGACGAGAGUACCGUACGAAUAAGCAUCGGCUAACUCCGUGCCAGCAGCCGCGGUAAUACGGGGGAUGCAAGCGUUAUCCGGAUUUAUUGGGUUUAAAGGGUGCGUAGGCUGUGAGGUAAGUCAGCGGUGAAAUGCCCCCGCUCAACGGGGUGAAGUGCCAUUGAUACUGCCUGGCUGGAAUGCGGAUGCCGUGGGAGGAAUGUGUGGUGUAGCGGUGAAAUGCAUAGAUAUCACACAGAACACCGAUUGCGAAGGUAUCUCACGAAUCCGCGAUUGACGCUGAUGCACGAAAGCGUGGGUAUCAAACAGGAUUAGAUACCCGUGUAGUC